rnacentral:rRNA from 1 species
UACGGGGGGGGCAAGCGUUGUUCGGAAUUACUGGGCGUAAAGGGCUCGUAGGCGGCCAACUAAGUCAGACGUGAAAUCCCUCGGCUUAACCGGGGAACUGCGUCUGAAACCGUCUGGCUAGAGUCCGGAAGAGGAGAGUGGAAUUCCCGGUGUAGCGGUGAAAUGCGCAGAUAUCGGGAAGAACACCCGUGGCGAAGGCGGCUCUCUGGGACGGUACUGACGCUGAGACGCGAAAGCGUGGGGAGCGAACGGG